ACCGUCUUCAGAUGAGUGUGGUGUCCUACUUCAGAGGGUAUCAUUCAAAUAAACUAAAACGUUAUUGUCACCUUUUUGAGUAGAGUAAAACACAUCGUGUACAAUAUGUGAGGUGGC
rnacentral:miRNA from 1 species